rnacentral:rRNA from 1 species
AUUGAACGCUGGCGGCAGGCUUAACACAUGCAAGUCGAGCGGGGGAAGGUAGCUUGCUACCGGACCUAGCGGCGGACGGGUGAGUAAUGCUUAGGAAUCUGCCUAUUAGUGGGGGACAACAUCUCGAAAGGGAUGCUAAUACCGCAUACGUCCUACGGGAGAAAGCAGGGGAUCUUCGGACCUUGCGCUAAUAGAUGAGCCUAAGUCGGAUUAGCUAGUUGGUGGGGUAAAGGCCUACCAAGGCGACGAUCUGUAGCGGGUCUGAGAGGAUGAGCCGGCACACUGGGAAUGAGAAACGGCCCAGACUCCUACGGGAGGCAGCAGUGGGGAAUAUUGGACAAUGGGGGGAACCCUGAUCCAGCCAUGCCGCGUGUGUGAAGAAGGCCUUAUGGUUGUAAAGCACUUUAAGCGAGGAGGAGGCUACUUUAGUUAAUACCUAGAGAUAGUGGACGUUACUCACAGAAUAAGCACCGGCUAACUCUGUGCCAGCCGCCGCCGUAA